UACAGUUUGAUAUGCCAGGGCUACAGAGA
rnacentral:piRNA from 1 species